rnacentral:rRNA from 1 species
GCGCACCAGUCGAGAAACUUUACAAUGUGCGAAAGCACGAUAAGGGAACUCUGAGUGCCUCCUAAGGAGGCUGUUCAGGUGUCUAAAAGCACCUGAAGGAAGGGCUGGGUAAGACCGGUGCCAGCCGCCGCGGUAGCACCGGCAGCCCAAGUGGUAGCCACGUUUAUUGGGUCUAAAGCGUCCGUAGCCGGCUGGGUAAGUUCCUUGGGAAAUUUGGCUGCUUAACAGUCAAGCUUUCAGGGAAUACUGCCCGGCUUGGGACCGGGAGAGGUCAGAGGUACUCCAGGGGUAGGGGUGAAAUCCAUUAAUCCUUGGGGGACCACCGGUAGCGAAGGCGUCUGACCAGACCGGGUCCGACGGUGAGGGACGAAGGCUAGGGGCGCGAACCGGAUUAGAUACCCGGCGUAGU